UAGGGAAUCUUCGGCAAUGGACGAAAGUCUGACCGAGCAACGCCGCGUGAGUGAAGAAGGUUUUCGGAUACGUAAAACUCUGUUGGUAGAGAAGAACGUUGGUGAGAGUGGAAAGCUCAUCAAGUGACGGUAACUACCCAGAAAGGGACGGCUAACUACGUGCAAG
rnacentral:rRNA from 1 species